UGUUUUUGAGCCCAAGGAAUAAGUAUGUAGUCAUGAUUGCCACCCGCUAUAGGCUCUGUUAACAGUGUAAAGAAAGUUGGAAGUUCUCUCCUGAGAAGAAGUAACUUCAAUGCGGAAGGACCCGGGCUUCUCAUGUUUCUCUUUGUAUCCUGACCGCCGGGAACUGCUACAAAGUCCUGCAAGUGAGGCUUAGACCCAGAUCUUGUGAAGUGUUUUCACAUUUCCCCAUGGAUGCCUAGCGAGGGACUGGGACUGCCUGAUCCGCUUUGGUCAAGAGCACGUGGGUGGCCUGUGUGCAGCCUUAUCAUCAAUAAUUGCAGGACUUGGUGGAGUAUGGUUGAACAGGUGCUCAGACUGCGUGCGUGUCUAGCGAGGCCAUCCUGAAGCUGCAUGGGAGUUGUAAAAAAGUUACCAACAAGGUUUUAGUUAUUUGAAUAGGUUUUUGAAUAGAUUUGGAAUGUGGGAAGCAGUUGCAGAAAUAAACGUCUUAAUGACUAAA
rnacentral:lncRNA from 1 species